rnacentral:rRNA from 1 species
GGGUUGUGAGGUUAAGCGACUAAGCGUACACGGUGGAUGCCCUGGCAGUCAGAGGCGAUGAAGGGCGUGCUAAUCUGCGAUAAGCGCCGGUAAGGUGAUAUGAACCGUUAUAACCGGCGAUACCCGAAUGGGGAAACCCAGUGUGACUCGUCACACUAUCAUUAACUGAAUCCAUAGGUUAAUGAGGCGAACCGGGGGAACUGAAACAUCUAAGUACCCCGAGGAAAAGAAAUCAACCGAGAUUCCCCCAGUAGCGGCGAGCGAACGGGGAGGAGCCCAGAGCCUGAAUCAGCAUGUGUGUUAGUGGAAGCGUCUGGAAAGGCGCGCGAUACAGGGUGACAGCCCCGUACACAAAAGCGCAUGUGCUGUGAGCUCGAUGAGUAGGGCGGGACACGUGGUAUCCUGUCUGAAUAUGGGGGGACCAUCCUCCAAGGCUAAAUACUCCUGACUGACCGAUAGUGAACCAGUACCGUGAGGGAAAGGCGAAAAGAACCCCGGCGAGGGGAGUGAAAAAGAACCUGAAACCGUGUACGUACAAGCAGUGGGAGCACAGGUUUACCUGUGUGACUGCGUACCUUUUGUAUAAUGGGUCAGCGACUUAUAUUCUGUAGCAAGGUUAACCGUAUAGGGGAGCCGGAGGGAAACCGAGUCUUAACCGGGCGUUAAGUUGCAGGGUAUAGACCCGAAACCCGGUGAUCUAGCCAUGGGCAGGUUGAAGGUUGGGUAACACUAACUGGAGGACCGAACCGACUAAUGUUGAAAAAUUAGCGGAUGACCUGUGGCUGGGGGUGAAAGGCCAAUCAAACCGGGAGAUAGCUGGUUCUCCCCGAAAGCUAUUUAGGUAGCGCCUCGUGAAUUCAUCUCCGGGGGUAGAGCACUGUUUCGGCUAGGGGGCCAUCCCGGCUUACCAACCCGAUGCAAACUGCGAAUACCGGAGAAUGUUAUCACGGGAGACACACGGCGGGUGCUAACGUCCGUCGUGAAGAGGGAAACAACCCAGACCGCCAGCUAAGGUCCCAAAGUCAUGGUUAAGUGGGAAACGAUGUGGGAAGGCCCAGACAGCCAGGAUGUUGGCUUAGAAGCAGCCAUCAUUUAAAGAAAGCGUAAUAGCUCACUGGUCGAGUCGGCCUGCGCGGAAGAUGUAACGGGGCUAAACCAUGCACCGAAGCUGCGGCAGCGACACUGUGUGUUGUUGGGUAGGGGAGCGUUCUGUAAGCCUGUGAAGGUGUGUCGUGAGGCAUGCUGGAGGUAUCAGAAGUGCGAAUGCUGACAUAAGUAACGAUAAAGCGGGUGAAAAGCCCGCUCGCCGGAAGACCAAGGGUUCCUGUCCAACGUUAAUCGGGGCAGGGUGAGUCGACCCCUAAGGCGAGGCCGAAAGGCGUAGUCGAUGGGAAACGGGUUAAUAUUCCCGUACUUGGUGUUACUGCGAAGGGGGGACGGAGAAGGCUAUGUUGGCCGGGCGACGGUUGUCCCGGUUUAAGCGUGUAGGUGUGUGUUCCAGGUAAAUCCGGUUCACUUUAACACUGAGGCGUGACGACGAGGCACUACGGUGCUGAAGCAACAAAUGCCCUGCUUCCAGGAAAAGCCUCUAAGCAUCAGGUAACAUCAAAUCGUACCCCAAACCGACACAGGUGGUCAGGUAGAGAAUACCAAGGCGCUUGAGAGAACUCGGGUGAAGGAACUAGGCAAAAUGGUGCCGUAACUUCGGGAGAAGGCACGCUGACACGUAGGUGAAGUGAUUUACUCACGGAGCUGAAGUCAGUCGAAGAUACCAGCUGGCUGCAACUGUUUAUUAAAAACACAGCACUGUGCAAACACGAAAGUGGACGUAUACGGUGUGACGCCUGCCCGGUGCCGGAAGGUUAAUUGAUGGGGUCAGCGCAAGCGAAGCUCCUGAUCGAAGCCCCGGUAAACGGCGGCCGUAACUAUAACGGUCCUAAGGUAGCGAAAUUCCUUGUCGGGUAAGUUCCGACCUGCACGAAUGGCGUAAUGAUGGCCAGGCUGUCUCCACCCGAGACUCAGUGAAAUUGAACUCGCUGUGAAGAUGCAGUGUACCCGCGGCAAGACGGAAAGACCCCGUGAACCUUUACUAUAGCUUGACACUGAACAUUGAGCCUUGAUGUGUAGGAUAGGUGGGAGGCUUUGAAGUGUGGACGCCAGUCUGCAUGGAGCCGACCUUGAAAUACCACCCUUUAAUGUUUGAUGUUCUAACGUGGACCCGUAAUCCGGGUUGCGGACAGUGUCUGGUGGGUAGUUUGACUGGGGCGGUCUCCUCCUAAAGAGUAACGGAGGAGCACGAAGGUUGGCUAAUCCUGGUCGGACAUCAGGAGGUUAGUGCAAUGGCAUAAGCCAGCUUGACUGCGAGCGUGACGGCGCGAGCAGGUGCGAAAGCAGGUCAUAGUGAUCCGGUGGUUCUGAAUGGAAGGGCCAUCGCUCAACGGAUAAAAGGUACUCCGGGGAUAACAGGCUGAUACCGCCCAAGAGUUCAUAUCGACGGCGGUGUUUGGCACCUCGAUGUCGGCUCAUCACAUCCUGGGGCUGAAGUAGGUCCCAAGGGUAUGGCUGUUCGCCAUUUAAAGUGGUACGCGAGCUGGGUUUAGAACGUCGUGAGACAGUUCGGUCCCUAUCUGCCGUGGGCGCUGGAGAACUGAGGGGGGCUGCUCCUAGUACGAGAGGACCGGAGUGGACGCAUCACUGGUGUUCGGGUUGUCAUGCCAAUGGCACUGCCCGGUAGCUAAAUGCGGAAGAGAUAAGUGCUGAAAGCAUCUAAGCACGAAACUUGCCCCGAGAUGAGUUCUCCCUGAGACUUAGAGUCUCCUGAAGGAACGUUGAAGACGACGACGUUGAUAGGCCGGGUGUGUAAGCGCAGCGAUGCGUUGAGCUAACCGGUACUAAUGAACCGUGAGGCUUAACCUUACAACGCCGAAG